CAAACGUGCAUCUCUUUCUCUCUCAUCUCCUUCCCUAACCGAAACACCUCUCUCUCUCCUCCCUUAUUCACUGACAAACACCACCACUUCCACCUUCUUCUCCGGCAAGCAGCACCCCGCUCUGGCCACCUCCCUCUCUACCAACGAAGAGAAUAUUUUCCCAACUCCCAUGAGUGCAUCUUCUCGGACCUUCGCCGUCUCUCCCGCUUUCUCUCCUGAGAUCCUUCCAUUACGAAGCCAACCGUAACCAAACCCCAAAAUCAAAGGUUUUUCGUCACUGAAAGCGAAAUCUGGUGGGCCGGAACCAAGGCCCAGAUGGGGCGGCUUCGAUCGCGAGAUUUCAGGCCAAAAAACUCUGUCAUGGGACAGGUCAAGAUCCUAAAGCCAGGCGAGGAACUGAGGCUGCCGCCGACGAAUUUGGUUCUGGGUCCCACAGAUCUGUUGGGUCUCGACUCGGACACGGUCUAGAAAUUUUGAGGAAUUUUGAUAUCUGACCGAUUUCUUGGCUUGGCAAGUCUGAGGGCCCGUGGGAGAGUAGACUGAUCGGUAAGCUUAUGAUGUUCUCAAUACAAGGGCAUUCUUGCAGAAAUUGUAGAAUUUGUGAUGGGAAAGGAACUUAUCCCAGCUGUGAUGGGGAGAUAUGGGGUGUUAGACGACGUGUGAUAGUCCCAAUAUUGCAUCAGAAGAUGGUGCUUUGGAUAAAGAGAGAAAAGACAAGAAGAGGCAGCUCAAAGAUACAUUGAAUCUUGUUCUUAAGAAGAGGAAGGUAAUGGCAAAACUUUGACAACUAAUACAUUGACUAGCAUAAUUACCCUUCGGUCUAUGUUUUGGACAUUAACUCUUUCCGACUCUUUGAUAUGUUUCUAUACUCUUAGAGCUCAUGAUAAUAGUUAAUUGAAAUCUUUUGCUCUUCAUUGCUAUGCCAGCAUGCCCAAAUUGGUACCUUGGCCAAUCAAAAACUUGCUGAAGAGGAACUAUUAGAAUACAAGUAAGAUGGAUUUUUGCUUGUGAAAAAGACUCGAUCAUCAUUCCUACUUGUUUUAGCUUUGAUUGGAACUUGUAUGAUCCACCGAGGUGGAGUCCUUGGAGCAUUAAUUCCUGCUAUGGUGUCGUUUGGGGAAUUAUUUGUUGGUCUAGGCUUGUAGCUGGUUGGAUGUGUAGCUUCAUAGGCCAUUUUCUUUACGUUUUUUUUAUUUUGGUUGCAUUGGAUGUCCCUCUUAAUCAAUGGAAGCAUCUUUUAUCACCAGAUAAAAUAUGCAUAUGACUGGUUAUACUUCCUGAGUAAAUUUCGUGCAUUCAGUUUGUCAAACUUCCUUCGAGUAUAGAGCAUCGGAUGUUAACUUGGUGACCUGUCUUAUUUUAAUUUGUUUUGAGUUCUAUGCUGAUCGACAUCUAAAAUUUCAGAAACAAUCAAAAUCGAUCUCUACAGCAGGCAUGAUAAACGUG